CGGCCACGCCUAGCUGCCCACGCCGCACCCCACGACGCCCACGUCCAGCUGCCCACGCCCACCGGCCACCACCCACAACGCCGUACAGCCCGCACCCCACGCCCACGGUGCUCAACAAAGUCGCGAAGUGCUGGCCUGCUGGGUUCCAUUGUCUCCACUCGCAAACACCGAGAGAGUGUUGGGUAUUUGGUGGAUUUUCCUUUCCAAAAGUGGGUUUCAAUUGGUUAUUGAGUUGUGGGUUAGAUUUCAAUUGGUUAUUGAUUAGGCUAUAUAUGUUUGGAGGUUGUAUCAGAUCGUAAGUCUUUGCUUAGUUGAGAGAUUUUAUUGGAUUCAGAUUCUUUGGUGGGUGGGGGGAGGUUUCGACUUGCGGAUUGAUUUGCAGCACGGGGCAUUUGUAAAUGUGGUUUUUUGCACUAUGAUUAGCUACUGUGCUUAGUCUCCCUGAUUUGAUCGAUCUGUUUGUAUCGUUUCCAUUUCGAGGUUAAUUUUAGCUGGUUUGUCAACUAUA